UCCCCCAGAAUCUAGUGAGGAGAAAAGGA
rnacentral:piRNA from 1 species